rnacentral:lncRNA from 1 species
CCGGGAGGAGUUGAAGAAAGCUGCCAUGGAGUGGGGUGUGAUGCACCUUGUUAACCAUGGCAUCUCUGAUGACCUUAUCAACCGUGUUAAGGUUGCUGGAGAGACCUUUUUCAAUCUCCCCAUGGAGGAAAAGGAGAAGUAUGCUAAUGACCAGGCCUCCGGCAAGAUCGCUGGCUAUGGCAGCAAGCUUGCCAACAAUGCUAGUGGACAGCUUGAGUGGGAGGACUACUUCUUCCACCUCAUCUUCCCUGAAGACAAGCGCGAUAUGACCAUCUGGCCUAAGACACCAAGCGACUACGUGUAAGUUCAAUUCAUUGUUUAUGUAAUUAUACGAUGUUUGCUGAUCUGUUUUUCCUCUGGCCAAGUAGUUACUAACUGAAUUUUCUAUUAUAAAAAAAAAUCUGCAAAUUUUACUAAUUUUGAAAUUGUUUCUGGGUUCUAAGAAUUACUUGUUCAAACUUGUGAUUGCAGUCCAGCAACCUGUGAGUACUCGGUGAAACUUAGGAGCCUGGCAACCAAGAUACUAUCGGUGCUAUCGCUUGGGUUGGGAUUGGAAGAAGGGAGACUAGAAAAGGAAGUUGGUGGGAUGGAAGAGCUACUACUCCAAAAGAAGAUCAACUACUACCCCAAGUGUCCCCAGCCUGAAUUGGCUCUCGGGGUGGAAGCUCACACUGACGUGAGCGCUCUCACCUUCAUCCUCCACAACAUGGUACCCGGCCUGCAACUUUUCUAUGAGGGCAAGUGGGUGACAGCCAAGUGUGUCCCCAACUCCAUCAUCAUGCACAUUGGAGACACCAUAGAGAUUCUCAGCAAUGGUAAGUACAAGAGUAUUCUUCACAGGGGACUGGUCAACAAGGAGAAGGUGAGGAUUUCAUGGGCAGUUUUCUGCGAGCCGCCUAAGGAGAAGAUCAUCCUGAAGCCACUGCCAGAGACGGUGUCUGAGACUGAGCCACCACUCUUCCCACCUCGCACCUUUUCCCAACAUAUUCAGCACAAGCUCUUCAGGAAGACCCAGGAGGCUCUACUCUCCAAAUGAGCUGUAGCCUUGUUGUAUUUCAUCUGCUAUACUAAGCUCUCUAUUUGGCUGUUUUGUUACAGUUUGGUCUGUGUUUCAAGCUUCCCAAUCUUUGAUCAUGGCAGGUAUAGGCCAUCAUAUAUGUUUGUUUCUCUGCCUGCUUUUAUUUAAUAAAAUUCGAGAUUUCUAUUCUUCUUUUGUGCACAACCAAGUUUUGGAUUUGAAUUACCAAUGUCAUUAUGCAUUAAUUCUCAAGCUACUUGUAUUGAAAAAUAAAGCCAAUAUGGUAAUGGUAUGAGUGGUG